CAAGGCUGCUCAUUUCAGGUGAAACCUUCUGGCAAGGAAGGGGAGGAAUAGCUGGAACCAAUUCUGCACAUUGGGGCAGCCUCAGCACAGGGAGGAUGUUGCAGACCACGCUUUUCUCUGCACUGAAGGGACUUCUUGGAGCUUUCCAGGUGGCUUCUCCAAGACCCGUUACAUCUUUGUGCAGAAACCAGGAUGCCAGGAGAGAUGAGACCUCUAGAACAGCACUGGCAAACGAUGCAAACUGUGUGUUAUGGGAUAUCUUCCAUAAGAAAAUGGAAUAGAUGACGUUCCAUUUCUCCUGCCUGUACACCUCAGGGUAAGUAAAGAACUGCUAUGAGGCAAUAUAAAUCCUUAGCCAUAUGGACUGUUUUUAAAAUUAUUCUUGUCUUAAUUCUCAAUAGCAGGAAGAGUAAUCAAGUCUUUAAAAACCAAGAAAAGAAUGUGAAUAGGUGUUAACCUCAGUUCUUUAGUGAAUUUUACUUACCAACAUUUUUAUAUUAGCUCAGUAAUAAAAGUUCACAGAAAAAAUAAACUAACUGAAAUGUUACCUACCACUUCAGUUUCCUUAUCACAUCAAAAUUUUAUUAGAAAUGGUUUUUUUUCACCCAGAGGGUUGUUGAGCACUGGAACAAGCUCCAUAGGGAAGUGGUCACAGCACCAGCCUGAGUUCAAGAAAUGUUUGUACAAUGCUCUCAGGCACAUGGUGUGACUCCUGGAGAUGGUUCUGUGCAGGGCCAGAGGUUGGACUCAGGGACCCUGAUGGGUCUCUUCCAACCUGGUAUAUCCUGUGAUUUCUUCUCCUAGUUCUUCAAAAAAUUUGGAAUAGUGGUAUCUCAGUCAAAUCACAUUUCUGCCAACAUUAUGAUACAAUAAAUAACUUUCUGAUUCUUGCCUAUGUUUAUUCCUCUCUUAAAGUAACUUCCUAUUUACAGACAUGUAAUUUUGUGACAGUUGGAAAUAAUUCAGAGCUGACGUAUGCUCAUUCAUUUAUAAAAGGGGAAGGUUAAAACCUUCAGCUAAAAACUGAAUAAUAUGGAAAGGAGUGUGUUCAGUCCAAAUUCAGCCUGGCACUUAGCCAUGUUGUUUAACUUGAAGCUUGUCAUUGCCAUUGAUAUUCAGAUGAGUAUUCAUGUGCAAUUGUUGACAAUCAAGCAAUUGUUUAAGUGUAGCAGCAGAUCAGAGGCAGAACUCCCACCCCUUUGCAGUAAAAAAAGGCUACUUAUAAAAAU